UUCGGAAUUAAUCAUCGAGCAAGUUUCCCCGAUGAAAAGCGAACGCGUUCGAGUUUCGGCGAUUUCGCGCGAUCGCGAGUCGAUCGAGAAAUGCGGUCCGGUACCUCGAGCGGGGUGCGAUAUACUGACACGGGCGUUGUUGCCGCGAGCCCACGGAUUAUCUGCGAGCCGUAGAUAAAAACUUCUCGUUACGAAAUCGAACGUAACGCGAGGCGAGCGAGAACACGCGCAUCGAGCUGUUCGAUGGCUGACCGAACGAGCCGCUAUCAGCCGGUACCGUUGCCCAAUCGCGAGUCGGGAUCGAACUAGAGAGGAAACGGAGUGGAAGAGCGAAUAUACUCUUCGGGGAGGGGAAAAAAAAUAGACGCGGAGACCAGGCGACAAAUGGACCGACAGUGGGAGACAUCGGAAGAGAGGGGGGAGGGGGCCGAAGAGACGGAACUCGAAGUCAACACCUCUCCAAUGAUGCCUAAUUAGUCUACUUUCAUUUUUUGUUAAGUUCCUAACGGAAGAGGAAGAAGAAGAGGAAGAGGAAGGUGGUGGGACCCUUAAGAGAUGGAACUCGAAGUCAACACCUCUCCAAUGAUGCCUAAUUAGUCUACUUUCAUUUUUUGUUAAGUUCCUAACGGUGGGUUUUCGUUGUUUCUGGUGAUAUUCCAAAGAGGUAAAUCUUGAGUAGAUAUCAAGAAUUUUUUUAGGAAGAGGAAGAAGAAGAGGAAGAGGAAGAGGAAGGUGGUGGGACCCUUAAGAGAUGGAACUCGAAGUAAACAGCACUCCAAAUCAUGCCUAAUUCGUCUACUUUCAUUUUUUCUAAACUCUUGACGGAGGAUUUAUGUUGCUUUUGUUGAUAUUGCAAAGAGGUAAAUCUUGUUUGUAUGUAGGGGAUAAUUUAUGAAACUACUCAGGAGAUCCUAAACAUUUUUUCAGUGGUAAAAGGCUACAUUGUCCCUUAAUAACACAAGCUAGAUUUUACCUUGAUACAAAUAAGGUUUUAGUUCGCGAUCUCAAUAUAUCCGUAAGUAAAGUUAAACAGUUACUUGAAGAGUUUUUCGAAUGUGAAUGGCGUACAAUAAAAAUAGUUUUAACGUAUCCCUGUAGUUUCGAUGCGUAUCUCGAGAGAUUACCUGUGAGUGAUGUUGAAAUUUCGAAAAAAUGACCUGGGAUUGUCGCUAAUACGUUACGCGGAACGGUUGAGAGUGAUUUCGGAGUCGGGGGAUUCGUAUGCUCAGCACGCAAAGUGCACGGAAGUCCCGCACCCGCAUUUAUUAAACAAGUUCACCGAACUACGGAUAGGCGUUUGGUGUACGGUGUGCAACUUUCGAGUGGGCAUUUGUACGCACCUGUAACUUUACCCUGUUAAAAAAGAAGAAUCCUCGCUGUUCUUACUCGAAUUAAUAUCUCUUUUUAUAUAAAUUAAUAAAUGUUUGGGAGGAUCGCUCAGAAUCUUACUCAGAAUCUUACUCAGACCAUCUGCUUUUAAUAUCGUAAAGAAUUCGUGUUGGGAGUUUGGUAUAGCCAGAAAACACUCGCGAAUAUCUUCAAUGGCCUUCUAGGAGAUUCAUGGUCUGUGUAGGAGAUUGACGUAAACUAGUCGAGGAAGAGGGAGAGCAGCCAGAAGAGGAAGACGGCGAACACGUUGCGUUGUCUUCCGGCUGGCCUAAACGAAAAUACCCUGCCUGCUCUCCCCUCUUCUGGUAAUUUCGCGAGACUGGUCCAGGUUCGACGUCCUGGGGUCCAGGAAUUCCUUCGUGCUUGUUUCCAUCGAUUUGCAUCGGCUAUUAACCCCAAGUCUUUUGUCUAACUUGGACAACUGGCAAGGGGAGAUAUGCUGGCCUAAUUGGAACAUAAACAGGCACACCUAUAUCUUCUAACUUUAUGAUAUCUUUCUCAUUAACAACUUUAUAUAGAAAAGAAAAAAAAACACCAAGUUCCACUUUUCAAGCAUCGACGAUUAAAAAUUCCAGUCCUGAUAUUUCGAUAUCUAAGAGCCGUGGUCAAUGCCUCUUAGACAGGAUUCGCUGUUCUGUUUGUCAAGGACGCGUCUAUAAGGACGAUUUUUUGACUUUACGAGUAAAUAUAAGAUCGAUGGAGAGCGCAAAUAAGUCGAUGUAAAAAUGUAUCGACAAGUGUUGCUACGGAUGUUUGCCUGGCAGAUAAUGCGAAUCCCCUGCGAACCGUAUCUAACAUCCAAGUUUAUUACCGCCGUAUUUAUCCGUCCUACCAUAAAACGGAUUAUCCGGUCGAUAAACAGAUACGCCGCUCUCUCGACUCCAGCUACUCAAAUUUCAUCCCGAGGAAACCGCAUUGACUCGGCUCACCAAGAGAGAGGCACUGGAUGCUCUCGAGAAUAAUUCUGCAGUUGCUUGUUUGACAUCCGUUCAUUCCAUUAGCGACCGAGUUUCGUCUUGGAUCUUAGUUAUCUUUUACUAUUUUCAAGCGCGUCAUACUCACAAAAUAUAACUUGUAAACAAAUCGACCGGGACAAUUGAAAAUUUCAGAGAACCUCGUACACGUAUGUGCAAAUAAAAGUAAUAAAUUUCAAAAGUUUUACUGAUUUAAGAA